rnacentral:rRNA from 1 species
UACGUAGGGUGCAAGCGUUAAUCGGAAUUACUGGGCGUAAAGCGUGCGCAGGCGGUUUUGUAAGCCAGAUGUGAAAUCCCCGGGCUCAACCUGGGAAUGGCAUUUGGGACUGCAAGGCUGGAGUGCGGCAGAGGAGACUGGAAUUCCUGGCGUAGCAGUGAAAUGCGUAGAUAUCAGGAGGAAUACCGAUGGCGAAGGCAGGUCUCUGGGCUGACACUGACGCUCAUGCACGAAAGCGUGGGGGAGCAAACAGG